UGGUGGAGCGAUUUGUCUGGUUAAUUCCGAUAACGAACGAGACUCUAGCCUGCUAAAUAGUCUGCAGAUCGCAUCAUCUGCAGCACUUCUUAGUGGGACAAGCAGCAUUUAGCAGCACGAAAAUGAGCAAUAACA
rnacentral:rRNA from 1 species